UGGAAUGUCCUAUCAUUGUCUGAACGCAGUCGUUUAAGUUCGUAACAGAUUCCUACGGGUCGGGAAGGGUCCGAAUAGUUCGGCGAAGCACCCCGACCGUUAAGUGCGUCCCGUAACAUUCGGGGGAACUCAGCCGAUUUUGUCUAGUCGGAUUACAAUCGUGCCUAUGUCGUGACAGAUUCUGCUGUAUCGGAUCAAAAUCCUAACAAUGUUCUGUGUAUUCUGGGCGGUGUCCUAUGUAACGG
rnacentral:lncRNA from 1 species